AUUUAUCAGAGAAGCAGUGAUCUUGAAGCGAACACCAACACAUAUAUGACAUGGAGUGUGAUGGGAUUGUAUAUGUGUAGAUAUGUAUAUAUAAUUUUUUUUCCUCUGAAAACGUGUAUUACAACCGCUGACGUUGCCUUCUUAACGUCUACUAAAAAACAGUUGAUAGCCGCUUAUGGAACUAUUUCUGCAAUGGGGAUUAAUUGCUUCUUGUGAUUAUUUAAAAGAAAGUGCAGAGAAAUAUGCCAAACUUAUUUUUCAAGUCUUCUUUAAAAAAUUCAAGUAGAAAUCAACUUUCACUGUACUUGGUCAGAUUGCAAGCAACUUUCUAUCGCCUCCCUCCAAAAAGGAAAAAAAAAUCCCAAAUUGAGAAACAAUAAAUUUUUGAGUUUAUACUAUAUUGGGAAAAAUAAAGAACCCUAACUAGGUCGUUUAAAGAUACCCAGA
rnacentral:misc_RNA from 1 species